AUGAACGCUAGCGGCAGGCUUCACACAUGCAAGUCGAGGGGCAGCGCGGGAUAGCAAUAUCCUGGCGGCGACCGGCGGAAGGGUGCGUAACGCGUGAGCGACAUGCCCGUUGCCCGGGGACAACCGGUGGAAACGCCGACUAAUCCCCGAUGGGAUACGAUGCUUCAUGGCAUUGUAUUGAAAGUUACGGCGGCGACGGAUUGGCUCGCGUCCGAUUAGCUGGUUGGCGGGGUAACGGCCCACCAAGGCUGCGAUCGGUAGGGGUUCUGAGAGGAAGGCCCCCCACAAUGGGACUGAGACACGGCCCAUACUCCUACGGGAGGCAGCAGUGAGGAAUAUUGGUCAAUGGGCGGAAGCCUGAACCAGCCAUGCCGCGUGCGGGAAGGAGGCCCUAUGGGCUGUGAACCGCUUUUGCCUGGGGGCAAUAAGGGCGUCGCGCACGUCCGAUGAGAGUACCAGGCGAAUAAGCAUCGGCUAACUCCGUG
rnacentral:rRNA from 1 species